AGUCGAGCGGCAGCGCGGGGGCAACCCUGGCGGCGAGCGGCGAACGGGUGAGUAAUACAUCGGAACGUACCCCGUAGUGGGGGAUAACUCAGCGAAAGCUGUGCUAAUACCGCAUAUGCUCUACGGAGGAAAGUGGGGGACCCGCAAGGGCCUCAUGCUAUGGGAGCGGCCGAUGUCCGAUUAGCUUGUUGGUGAGGUAAAGGCUUACCAAGGCGACGAUCGGUAGCUGGUCUGAGAGGAUGAUCAGCCACACUGGGACUGAGACACGGCCCAGACUCCUACGGGAGGCAGCAGUGGGGAAUUUUGGACAAUGGGGGCAACCCUGAUCCAGCCAUGCCGCGUGCGGGAAGAAGGCCUUCGGGUUGUAAACCGCUUUUGUCCGGGAAGAAAAGGCACCACCUAAUACGGGGUGUUCUUGACGGUACUGGAAGAAUAAGCACCGGCUAACUACGUGCCAGCAGCCGCGGUAAUACGUAGGGUGCGAGCGUUAAUCGGAAUUACUGGGCGUAAAGCGUGCGCAGGUGGUUCGUCAAGUCUGAUGUGAAAGCCCCGGGCUCAACCUGGGAAUGGCAUUGGAAACUAGCGGGCUGGAGUGUGGCAGAGGGGGGUGGAAUUCCACGUGUAGCAGUGAAAUGCGUAGAGAUGUGGAGGA
rnacentral:rRNA from 1 species